UCGUAAGUCGUUGCCUGGCAAAUGCCGGCAGCGGCGAGCUUCGUCUAUCCCGUAUGGAUGUACGAGGUUUCACCAGAAAAAGGAA
rfam:Pseudomonas cichorii JBC1, complete genome.